rnacentral:lncRNA from 1 species
UUUCUCAUUUAACAGCUGCAACAAUAACAUACAAAUAAAUUUACUGAUCAAUAAGGGAUGUACUUUCACGGGCCUCAAGAAGGUUAGCAGGAUUAAAUGAAGCAAAAAGGAUGGAGCCCUAAUUCAAUAGGAAUGAUGUGAUUAUAAGAAGAGAAAGAGACACCAAAGCACAGAGGCAAGAUGGUGUGAGGACACAAUGGGAAGGUGGCAUCUGCAACUAAGGAGAGAAGCUUCUGGAUAAACCAAAUUUGCUGACCUCUUAACCUUGGACAUCCAGUCUCUAGAACAGUGAAAAAAUUAAUUUCUGUGGUUUAAACUACAUAGUCUUUGCAACUUUGUUAUGGCAGCCCUGGCAGACUAUCAGAAAUGCAUUAAGAUGUUCACAAAAAGAAAUGUACAAAAUGUUCUUAGCAACAUUCUUGUAUUUGGUUAUUCUGAGAAUAACCAAAGCCUAAAAACAGUCCAGAUGUCCAUCAAGUGUAAUUUGUAUAAAUUAUGUUUAUUUAUUCCAAACAAUGUAAUUUGGCAAUGAAAACUAACAGAUUACAGCUAGACACAGCAACAGGAAUAAAUCACAAACAUAAUGUUGAGCCAAAGAACUAAGUACAGAUGAGUACGUCUUGAAUGAUUCUAUUCAUAUAAAGUUAUGAUGAAUCAGUCAAAAUGAAUCUGCUGUGUUAGAAAUCAGGAAUCAGGAGACUGGUUACCCUUGGGGGUCAGUAACAAAAAGGGAGUGAAAAGGGGCUUUCUGAGAUGUUGCUAAUAUCCUGAUCCUCAAUUUCAGUGAAUGCUGGUUACAUGCAUAUGUGUCUUUUGUGAAAAGCCACAGCACCAUCACUUAUGCAGCUUUUUGUGUGUAUAUUAUACUUCAAUAACAACAAGCAAGUGAUAGAUCUGGGACUCAAACCCAGGCUUUGAGGCUCCAAAUCUCUUGUCCUCUCAUUAUAUUGUUUAAAUGGUUUUAUAUUCCAAUUAUAUCAGAUAGUUUUAGAUAUCUGUAUCUAAUUCUUU